rnacentral:rRNA from 1 species
GAUGAACGCUGGCGGCGUGCCUAAUACAUGCAAGUCGAGCGGACAGACGAGGAGCUUGCUCCUCUGACGUUAGCGGCGGACGGGUGAGUAACACGUGGAUAACCUACCUAUAAGACUGGGAUAGCUUCGGGAAACCGGAGCUAAUACCGGAUAAUAUAUUGAACCGCAUGGUUCAAUAGUGAAAGACGGUUUUGCUGUCACUUAUAGAUGGAUCCGCGCCGCAUUAGCUAGUUGGUAAGGUAACGGCUUACCAAGGCGACGAUGCGUAGCCGACCUGAGAGGGUGAUCGGCCACACUGGAACUGAGACACGGUCCAGACUCCUACGGGAGGCAGCAGUAGGGAAUCUUCCGCAAUGGGCGAAAGCCUGACGGAGCAACGCCGCGUGAGUGAUGAAGGUCUUCGGAUCGUAAAACUCUGUUAUUAGGGAAGAACAAAUGUGUAAGUAACUAUGCACGUCUUGACGGUACCUAAUCAGAAAGCCACGGCUAACUACGUG